rnacentral:rRNA from 1 species
UACGUAGGGGGCAAGCGUUGUCCGGAUUUAUUGGGCGUAAAGAGCGUGUAGGCGGUCAGGUAGGUCCGUUGUGAAAACUCGAGGCUCAACCUCGAGACGCCGAUGGAAACCAUCUGACUAGAGUCCGGAAGAGGAGAGUGGAAUUCCCAGUGUAGAGGUGAAAUUCGUAGAUAUUGGGAAGAACACCGGUGGCGAAGGCGGCUAUCUGGCCCGUAAUUGACGCUGAGGCGCGAAAGCGUGGGGAGCAAACAGG